rnacentral:rRNA from 1 species
ACGUAUGGAGCAAGCGUUAUCCGGAUUUACUGGGUGUAAAGGGAGUGUAGGUGGCCAGGCAAGUCAGAAGUGAAAGCCCGGGGCUCAACCCCGGGACUGCUUUUGAAACUGCAGGGCUAGAGUGCAGGAGGAGCAAGUGGAAUUCCUAGUGUAGCGGUGAAAUGCGUAGAUAUUAGGAGGAACACCAGUGGCGAAGGCGGCUUGCUGGACUGUAACUGACACUGAGGCUCGAAAGCGUGGGGAGCAAACAG